AUACUCUGGUUUUUCUUUAGUUCUUAUAAAAGUUUCACUGUUUACUAAAGAUUUCCAUGGAGAGGAGCAGCUCUAAGUGUUAAACUAAUUUUUCAAAAAAUUUUUUUAACUAAAGAAAG